GAUGAACGCUGGCGGCGUGCCUAAUACAUGCAAGUCGAGCGAACGGACGAGAAGCUUGCUUCUCUGAUGUUAGCGGCGGACGGGUGAGUAACACGUGGAUAACCUACCUAUAAGACUGGGAUAACUUCGGGAAACCGGAGCUAAUACCGGAUAAUAUUUUGAACCGCAUGGUUCAAAAGUGAAAGACGGUCUUGCUGUCACUUAUAGAUGGAUCCGCGCUGCAUUAGCUAGUUGGUAAGGUAACGGCUUACCAAGGCAACGAUGCAUAGCCGACCUGAGAGGGCGAUCGGCCACACUGGAACUGAGACACGGUCCAGACUCCUACGGGAGGCAGCAGUAGGGAAUCUUCCGCAAUGGGCGAAAGCCUGACGGAGCAACGCCGCGUGAGUGAUGAAGGUCUUCGGAUCGUAAAACUCUGUUAUUAGGGAAGAACAUAUGUGUAAGUAACUGCGCACAUCUUGACGGUACCUAAUCAGAAAGCCACGGCUAACUACGUG
rnacentral:rRNA from 1 species